AGUCAAGUAAUUAAGUGCAUGUGGUGGAUGCCUUGGCAGUCAGAGGCGAUGAAAGACGUGAUAGCCUGCGAAAAGCUCCGGGGAGGCGGCAAAUAUCCUUUGAUCCGGAGAUGUCUGAAUGGGGGAACCCACCUACUUUAAGGUAGGUAUUGCAACAUGAAUACAUAGUGUUGCAAGGCGAACGAGGGGAAGUGAAACAUCUCAGUACCCUUAGGAAAAGAAAUCAAUUGAGAUUCCCUCAGUAGCGGCGAGCGAACGGGGAUCAGCCCAUUAAGUUAUGUGUGUUUUAGUGGAACGCUCUGGGAAGUGCGAACGUAGAGGGUGAUAUUCCCGUACACGAAAGGGCACACAUAAUGAUGACGAGUAGGGCGAGGCACGUGAAACCUUGUCUGAAUAUGGGGGGACCAUCCUCCAAGGCUAAAUACUCCUGACUGACCGAUAGUGAACCAGUACCGUGAGGGAAAGGCGAAAAGAACCCCUGUGAGGGGAGUGAAAUAGAUCCUGAAACCGCAUGCAUACAAGCAGUGGGAGCACCUUCGUGGUGUGACUGCGUACCUUUUGUAUAAUGGGUCAGCGACUUAUAUUCAGUAGCGANNNNNNNNNNNNNNNNNNNNNNNNNNNNNNNNNNNNNNNNNNNNNNNNNNNNNNNNNNNNNNNNNNNNNNNNNNNNNNNNNNNNNNNNNNNNNGUGCGAGGUUAACCGUAUAGGGGAGCCGUAGAGAAAUCGAGUCUUAAUAGGGCGUUUAGUUGCUGGGUAUAGACCCGAAACCAGGCGAUCUAUCCAUGAGCAGGUUGAAGGUUGGGUAACACUAACUGGAGGACCGAACCCACUGUCGUUGAAAAGCCAGGGGAUGACUUGUGGAUAGGGGUGAAAGGCUAAUCAAGCCUGGUGAUAGCUGGUUCUCCCCGAAAGCUAUUUAGGUAGCGCCUCGGACGAAUACCAUAGGGGGUAGAGCACUGUUUCGGCUAGGGGGUCAUCCCGACUUACCAAACCGAUGCAAACUCCGAAUACCUAUGAGUACUAUCCGGGAGACAGACUGCGGGUGCUAACGUCCGUAGUCAAGAGGAAAACAAUCCAGACCGCCAGCUAAGGCCCCAAAAUCAUAGUUAAGUGGGAAACGAUGUGGGAAGGCAUAGACAGCUAGGAGGUUGGCUUAGAAGCAGCCACCCUUUAAAGAAAGCGUAAUAGCUCACUAGUCGAGUCGGCCUGCGCGGAAGAUGUAACGGGGCUAAAACUAUGUGCCGAAGCUGCGGAUGUAUACUUUGUAUACGUGGUAGGGGAGCGUUCUGUAAGCCGAUGAAGGUGUGUUGAGAAGCAUGCUGGAGGUAUCAGAAGUGCGAAUGCUGACGUGAGUAACGACAAAACGGGUGAAAAACCCGUUCGCCGAAAGACCAAGGGUUCCAGUCCAACGUUAAUCGGGGCUGGGUGAGUCGACCCCUAAGGCGAGGCCGAAAGGCGUAGUCGAUGGGAAAAUGGUUAAUAUUCCAUUACUUCUGUGUAAUGCGAUGAGAGGACGGAGAAGGCUAAAUCAGCCUGGCGUUGGUUGUCCAGGUGAAAGGAUGUAGGCAUGUAUCUUAGGCAAAUCCGGGGUACUCUAUGCUGAGAUCUGAUAGCAAGCUGUACUUGUACAGCGAAGUGGUUGAUGCCAUGCUUCCAGGAAAAGUCUCUAAGCUUCAGUUACACAGGAAUCGUACCCGAAACCGACACAGGUGGUCAGGUCGAGUAGACCAAGGCGCUUGAGAGAACUCUGCUGAAGGAACUAGGCAAAAUGGUACCGUAACUUCGGGAGAAGGUACGCUGUUGUUGGUGAUGGAACUCGCUUCCUGAGCUGACGACAGCCGCAGAAACCAGGCCGCUGCAACUGUUUAUUAAAAACAUAGCACUCUGCAAACACGAAAGUGGACGUAUAGGGUGUGAUGCCUGCCCGGUGCUGGAAGGUUAAUUGAUGGGGUUAGCGUAAGCGAAGCUCUUGAUCGAAGCCCCAGUAAACGGCGGCCGUAACUAUAACGGUCCUAAGGUAGCGAAAUUCCUUGUCGGGUAAGUUCCGACCUGCACGAAUGGCAUAAUGAUGGCGGCGCUGUCUCCAGCAGAGGCUCAGUGAAAUCGAAAUCGCUGUGAAGAUGCAGUGUACCCGCGGCUAGACGGAAAGACCCCGUGAACCUUUACUGCAGCUUGACACUGAACUUUGACCUUACUUGUGUAGGAUAGGUGGGAGGCUUUGAAGCUGGAACGCUAGUUCCAGUGGAGCCGUCCUUGAAAUACCACCCUGGUAAUGUUGAGGUUCUAACUCUGUCCCGUGAUCCGGGACGAGGACCGUGUCUGGUGGGUAGUUUGACUGGGGCGGUCUCCUCCUAAAGAGUAACGGAGGAGUACGAAGGUGCGCUCAGCGUGGUCGGAAAUCACGCGUAGAGUAUAAAGGCAAAAGCGCGCUUAACUGCGAGACCCACAAGUCGAGCAGGUACGAAAGUAGGUCUUAGUGAUCCGGUGGUUCUGUAUGGAAGGGCCAUCGCUCAACGGAUAAAAGGUACUCUGGGGAUAACAGGCUGAUACCGCCCAAGAGUUCAUAUCGACGGCGGUGUUUGGCACCUCGAUGUCGGCUCAUCUCAUCCUGGGGCUGAAGCAGGUCCCAAGGGUAUGGCUGUUCGCCAUUUAAAGAGGUACGCGAGCUGGGUUUAGAACGUCGUGAGACAGUUCGGUCCCUAUCUACCGUGGGCGCUGGAAAUUUGAGAGGAUCUGCUCCUAGUACGAGAGGACCAGAGUGGACGAACCUCUGGUGUACCGGUUGUGACGCCAGUCGCAUCGCCGGGUAGCUAUGUUCGGAAGGGAUAACCGCUGAAAGCAUCUAAGCGGGAAGCCUACCUCAAGAUAAGAUUUCCCUAGGACUUUAUGUCCUCUAAAGAGCCGUUCGAGACUAGGACGUUGAUAGGUUGGAUGUGGAAGCAUAGUGAUAUGUGAAGCUGACCAAUACUAAUUGCUCGUGAGGCUUGACUAU
rnacentral:rRNA from 1 species